AAGAGGUGAAGGGUAGAACUGGGUCAGAAUAGAAGAGGUGAAGGGUAGAACUGGGUCAGAAUAGAAUAGGUGAAGGGUAGAACUGGGUCAGAAUAGAAGAGGUGAAGGGUAGAACUGGGUCAGAAUAGAAGAGGUGAAGGGUAGAACUGGGUCAGAAUAGAAGAGGUGAAGGGUAGAACUGGGUCAGAAUAGAAGAGGUGAAGGGUAGAACUGGGUCAGAAUAGAAGAGGUGAAGGGUAGAACUGGGUCAGAAUAGAAGAGGUGAAGGGUAGAACUGGGUCAGAAUAGAAGAGGUGAAGGGUAGAACUGGGUCAGAAUAGAAGAGGUGAAGGGUAGAACUGGGUCAGAAUAGAAGAGGUGAAGGGUAGAACUGGGUCAGAAUAGAAGAGGUGAAGGGUAGAACUGGGUCAGAAUAGAAGAGGUGAAGGGUAGAACUGGGUCAGAAUAGAAGAGGUGAAGGGUAGAACUGGGUCAGAAUAGAAGAGGUGAAGGGUAGAACUGGGUCAGAAUAGAAGAGGUGAAGGGUAGAACUGGGUCAGAAUAGAAGAGGUGAAGGGUAGAACUGGGUCAGAAUAGAAGAGGUGAAGGGUAGAACUGGGUCAGAAUAGAAGAGGUGAAGGGUAGAACUGGGUCAGAAUAGAAGAGGUGAAGGGUAGAACUGGGUCAGAAUAGAAGAGGUGAAGGGUAGAACUGGGUCAGAAUAGAAGAGGUGAAGGGUAGAACUGGGUCAGAAUAGAAGAGGUGAAGGGUAGAACUGGGUCAGAAUAGAAGAGGUGUAGGGGAGAACUGGGUCAGAAUAGAAGAGGUGAAGGGGAGAACUGGGUCAGAAUAGAAGAGGUGAAGGGGAGAACU